rnacentral:rRNA from 1 species
CCGCACAAGCGGUGGAGCAUGUGGUUAAUUCGAUGCAACGCGAAGAACCUUACCUGGUCUUGACAUCCACGGAAGUUUUCAGAGAUGAGAAUGUGCCUUCGGGAACGUGAGACAGGUGCUGCAUGGCUGUCGUCAGCUCGUGUUGUGAAAUGUUGGGUUAAGUCCCGCAACGAGCGCAACCCUUAUCCUUUGUUGCCAGCGGUCCGGCCGGGAACUCAAAGGAGACUGCCAGUGAUAAACUGGAGGAAGGUGGGAUGACGUCAAGUCAUCAUGGCCCUUACGACCAGGGCUACACACGUGCUACAAUGGCGCAUACAAAGAGAAGCGACCUCGCGAGAGCAAGCGGACCUCAUAAAGUGCGUCGUAGUCCGGAUUGGAGUCUGCAACUCGACUCCAUGAAGUCGGAAUCGCUAGUAAUCGUGGAUCAGAAUGCCACGUCGAUACGUUCCGGCCUU